AGGUUACUUACGUGUUCAGAGGCACCAGCUAAGGAGCAAAAGUCAACUUUGAAUUCUGUGUUUUGACUACUGCACAGCUCUAUUUGCCUCAUUUUUUAUUUUUAAAGCAGCAAAUCUUAGAAUAGGAGUUUAAAUCCAUCACUUGGAGAAAAGAAAGACUAAAUGUUUUUUGUUUUUGUUUUGGAGACACGAUCUUGCUUUGUCACCCAGGCUGGAGUGCAGUGGCACAAUCUCGGCUCACUGCAGCCUCGAUCUCCUGGACUCAAGCGAUCCUCUCAUCUCAGCCUCCUGAGUAGCUGACACUACAGGCAUGUGCCACCAUGCCAAGCUUAUUUUAUUUUAUUUUUUUGAUAGACACUGGGGUUUCGCUAUGUUGCCUGGGCUGGUUUUGAAUUCCUGGCCUCAAGCGAUCCACCCGUCUCUGCCUUCCAAAAUGCUGUGAUUACAGGCGUGAACCACUGUGCAUGGCCAAAAGAGUAAACUUGAAAUCUGAGGCGAAUGACUUGAUUGUGACAUCAGGUGACCUAGUAAUCAGCUGUGUAUUCUAGCUGGUGCCUCUACCAGCUUCCCAUGUGACCUUGAACAUGUCAUUGAAUGCUCGCUAGGCCUCUGUUUCUUUAUCUGUGAAAUGGGCUUGAUAUUCCUCCUCUACCCCAACCGAUAGUGCAGAAUGAAAAGUAACUGAAAGUCCUUCCUCCAGGGCACCAUAGUGUCUGGGUGAAAAGUAGAAUAUAAACUCGGUAGACUUCUGGUCCCUUCAUUGGUCAUGGAAUGGACCAGUGCUUGCUUCAUUGAGCAACAGUUCUGUUGUUCAGAAUUCCUGGAUUUCACCUCACUUCUGCUCUCCCUGCAGGUGAAUGUGAUGUUCAUGCUUGCCAUUCUUCUGACAUUCUUCCACCCCUUUCUGGUAUAUCGGGAAUGCCGUACUUGGAAAGAAAGUCCCUCUGCAAUUGCAUAGUUCAGAAGCCCUCACUUUUCAGCCCCGAGGAUGGUUUUGUUCAUCUUCCACCACCUUUGAGGACCUCGUGUCCCAAAAGACUUUGCCUAUCCCAGCAAAACACACACACACACACACACACACACAAAAUAAAGACACACAAGGACGUCUGCGCAGCAAGAAAAGAAUCUCAGUUGCCAAGCAGAUUGAUAUCACACAGACUCAAAGCAAAGGCAUGUGGAACUUCUUUAUUUCAAAACAGAAGUGUCUCCUUGCACUUAGCCUUGGCAGACCCUUGACUCCAGGGGAGAUGACCUGGGGGAGGAAGUGUGUCAACUAUUUCUUUAGGCCUGUUUGGCUCCGAAGCCUAUAUGUGCCUGGAUCCUCUGCCACGGGUUAAAUUUUCAGGUGAAGAGUGAGGUUGUCAUGGCCUCAGCUAUGCUUCCUGGCUCUCCCUCAAGAGUGCAGCCUUGGCUAGAGAACUCACAGCUCUGGGAAAAAGAGGAGCAGACAGGGUUCCCUGGGCCCAGUCUCAGCCCAGCCACUGAUGCUGGAUGACCUUGGCCUGACCCUGGUCUGGUCUCAGAAUCACUUUUCCCAUCUGUAAAAUUGAGAUGAAUUUUGGUGUUGAAAGUUCUUCCUGGAGCAGAUGUCCUAGAAGGUUUUAGGAAUAGUGACAGAGUCAGGCCACCCCAAGGGCCAUGGGAGCCAGCUGACCUGCUUGACCGAAGGAUUUCUGACAGACUAUCUUUGGGGAUGUUUUCAAGAAGGGAUAUAAGUUAUUUACUUUGGGCAUUUAAAAGAAAAUUUCUCUCGGGAAUAAUUUUAUAGAAAAAUAAAGCUUCUGUGUCUAAGGCAA
rnacentral:lncRNA from 1 species